ACGGAGGAUGCAAGCGUUAUCCGGAUUCAUUGGGUUUAAAGGGUGCGCAGGCGGAUUAAUAAGUCAGUGGUGAAAUCCUACGGCUCAACUGUAGAACUGCCACUGAUACUGUUAGUCUUGAGUAUUGUUGAGGUAGGCGGAAUGUGUGAUGUAGCGGUGAAAUGCGUAGAUAUGACACAGAACACCGAUCGCGAAGGCGGCUUACCAGGCAAUUACUGACGCUCAUGCGCGAAAGCGUGGGGAUCGAACAG
rnacentral:rRNA from 1 species